GAUAAACGCUGGCGGUGUGCCUUAUGCAUGCAAGUCGGACGGUCUCGAUUUAUUGAGAUAGUGGCGAACGGGUGAGUAACGCGUAAGUAACCUGCCCCUAAGAGGGGGAUAACUCCGAGAAAUUGGAGCUAAUACCGUAGUGGUAGUGGGGGUAAUGCUCCAUUACUAAAGCCUUAGGGUGCUUAGGGAGGGGCUUGCGUCCGAUUAGCUAGUUGGUAGAGUAAAAGUCUACCAAGGCGACGAUCGGUAGCUGGUUUGAGAGGACGGUCAGCCACGCUGGGACUGAGACACGGCCCAGACUCCUACGGGAGGCAGCAGCAAGGAAUUUUGGGCAAUGGGCGAAAGCCUGACCCAGCGACACCGCGUGGGGGAUGAAGGCCUUCGGGUCGUAAACCCCUUUUCUCAGGGAAGAAUAAUGACGGUACCUGAGGAAUAAGCCUUGGCUAACUACGUGCCAGCAGCCGCGGUAAUACGUAGGAGGCGAGCGUUAUCCGGAUUUACUGGGCGUAAAGAGGGCGUAGGCGGUUCUUCAAGUCGGAUGUAAAAUCUCCCGGCUCAACUGGGAGGGACCAUUCGAUACUGUUGCGCUAGAGGACAGCAGAGGGAGGUGGAAUUCCCGGUGGAGUGGUGAAAUGCGUAGAUAUCGGGAAGAACACCAGUGGCGAAGGCGGCCUCCUGGGCUGUUUCUGACGCUGAGGCCCGAAAGCGUGGGGAGCGAACAGGAUUAGAUACCCUGGUAGUCCACGCCGUAAACGAUGGACACUAGGUAUGGGGAGUAUCGACCCUCUCCGUGCCGAAGCUAACGCUUUAAGUGUCCCGCCUGGGGACACGACCGCAAGGUU
rnacentral:rRNA from 1 species